rnacentral:lncRNA from 1 species
AGUGAGGGCGACGUACGUGAGACAUCAUGUUAGAAGCUGAACCUGGCCAAAACGGAACUGAUGGUCUUUCCAGCCAAACAGGCCAUCCACCACAACAUCAGCAUCAAUAUUGACUCCUUGUCUCUUGUUCCAUCCAAAACAGCAAGAAACCUCGGGGUCAUUAUUGAUGACCAACUGACUUUCACGGACCACAUUGCCUCUGUCUCUAGGUCCUGCCGCUUUGCGCUAUUCAACAUCCGCAAAAUCAGGCCGUACCUAACCCAGUAUGCCACCCAGCUGCUGGUGCAAACCUUGGUGAAUUCACGCCUUGAUUACUGCAACGCCCUCCUAACGGGCCUGCCGGCUUGCGUGGUGAAACCACUACAAAUGAUCCAGAACGCGGCGGUGCGUCUGGUGUUCAACCAACCGAAGAGGGCACACGUCACCCCGCUACUCAUUGACCUCCACUGGCUGCCUGUAGCUGCUCGCAUUAAGUUCAAGUCACUUAUGCUUGCCUACAGAGUGCUUGAUGGUUCUGCUCCCACCUACCUAAAUGCUCUUGUAAGGGCAAAUGUUACACCCAGGAUGCUGCGCUCUUCUAGUGAGCGUCGUUUGGCACUGCCAUCUGUGCAAGCACGGCAGUCCAGACUAUUCUCAUUUGUAGUUCCACGUUGGUGGAAUGAGCUGCCCAGCACUACCAGAGCAGGGGCGUCCCUCUCUACCUUUAAGAAGCUUUUGAAGACCCAACUCUUCAGAGAGCACUUCCCGUCCUAACUGGCACUUCGACUAGUGCGUAACUUGCAAUUACAGCAGUUACACUUCUGCACUCUUUCUUUCUUUUUAUUUAAUUUUGUUAUAUUUCUAAUGUAAAGUAGUAUUUAUUUAUUGUUACACCAGGUUCUAUUGCUCGUAGCUUGAAUAUUCUCUCCCUUGUACGUCGCUUUGGACAAAAGCGUCUGCUAAAUGUAAAUGUAAAUGUAAGUGUUUCCACUCUAGUGGCCAACAGUGGUAAAGCAAUGCGUGCAGACUUAAUGUACAGUCUUCUCAUACUCGUCAUCG